AAUAAGUAACUGUAUUAG
rnacentral:snRNA from 1 species